CCUACGGGAGGCAGCAGUGAGGAAUAUUGGUCAAUGGGCGCGAGCCUGAACCAGCCAAGUAGCGUGCAGGAAGACGGCCCUAUGGGUUGUAAACUGCUUUUGUGCGGGAAUAAAGUCAGGGACGUGUCCCUGUUUGCAUGUACCGCAAGAAUAAGGACCGGCUAAUUCCGUGCCAGCAGCCGCGGUAAUA
rnacentral:rRNA from 1 species